AGAUGGAAGACUUUGAGGGGUAACAUUCUGCUGCCAACAUGGAAGGGCAUCGGUGCAUGCCCAACAGAGACCCAGCUCUUCCUUGUGCCCGGCUUUCCUGGCCAGUUAGCCACCACAAGAUAUGAACUCAAGCCACAAACUCAAGCUACGUUCAGGACUGGUAACUAUACAGCAGCUGCAGAACCUGUGUGUGUGUACACAGAGGUACUA